rnacentral:rRNA from 1 species
CCUACGCGGUGCAGCAGUGAGGAAUAUUGGUCCAUGGACGCAAGUCUGAACCAGCCAUGCCGCGUGCAGGAAGAAGGCUCUAUGAGUUGUAAACUGCUUUUGUCCGAGGGUAAACGCAGAUACGCAUAUCUGUCUGAAAGUAUAGUACGCAUCAAUAGCGGCUAACUCCUUGCCAGCACCCGCGCUAAUACGGAGGAUUCAAGCGUUAUCCUGAUUUAUUGGGUUGAAAGGGUGCGUAGGGGGUCGGAUAAGUUAGAGGUGAAGUCCCGAGGCUCAACUUCGGAAUUGCCUAGGAUACUGUUCGGCUAGAGAGUAGUUGCGGUGGGCGGAAUGAAUGGUGUAGCGGUGAAAUGCUUAGAGAUCA